AGGUGGGCUGUGGGUCCUAGAUGGACGGACGGCUACAGCCAGCAAGGCCAGACCUCUCUCGUGGAAGCACUGUAAGCCACUACCCACGCUAUGGCAGCAGAUAAACAGCUGUGGGGUGGGUGGUAGGCCAGGGAUGACCAGGAGGACUCCUCACAGCAUGUCAGCAGCACUCACAGAAAGGGCCUGCUCUCUUAAUCUAGCCAUGAGAACCUUCCUAAAGUCACCUGCAGAUCCUAAGUGCCCUGGGGCCGGAAGAGCUCAGCUACAUACCACUUCACCCCCAUACUCAUGCUGGAAUUGAGGCCCCACACCCCACUGCUAUGUGGUCAUACACCCCAGAUACCAUCUUACUUACAGGGGGUCCCGGAAAAUUAUGGGGACCUAAGGGGAGGAGUGUUUAUCUCAAAGAGACUGAGUGAUCUGAAAGAACUUGCUUAAAGAUGGCAGGGCCUAGUGCUGUGUGGGUGUCACCCGAGCACUUGGGGAGGGAGAGAGAGGGGGGAGAGAGAGGGAGAAAGAGAUUGAUUUAGGCCAGAGGAGACUAUAAUUUUGUGGAUUGGGUUCUAAACUCAGUCACCCCUGCCCGGGGGAGUGCGGACUCUGAUGAACAGGAGUUUCCAUUAUUGGGUACAUUUGUGUUGGGAGGCACAGCAUUUCUGAUCCUGCACACAGUUGCCUUUCACUGGGAGCAUAUGGACAGCUGCCCUAUCUCAGUCUCUCUACCCUUAAUUUACCCAUCGAUGCAUGUGUUAAUGAGGCAGUUUUAACAAACUGUGAUAAACUCGUUUUCUUCCUCUUUGGCACAUUAGUGAGAGGUGAGAGGCAUAGUGUUCCCAGUCUUGAAGCCACGGAGUCUAUCCUGCACGGCAGGGAGGGGUGUGGGUGUUUAAUUCCUCAGUAGUAUGAAACAGAGAAGAGAGGGAUUAGGUGGCCUUUCCUAGUCUCAAAUCUAGAUGCUCAGCGUUGACGACUGAGGGAUGCCCCGUGUCUGCUCAGAUAGCACAAAAUGGGUGACACAGAUCCGAGCACUCUGACAACAGACUGUGGUCUGUCUGGUGAGCUUUUGUUGAGCAAGAGUCCCCUGGGAAGAGGAACCCUCCCCUGACAACAACCUCCAUCAGGCUGCCUUGUGGACAUGUCUGUGUGACAUGGCUUCUUCAUUGCUAUCUGAUGUACCGGGCCCAGUCACCGUGAGCGGCAGCCAUCCCCAGAGAGGCAUAAGAAAGCAAACCCAGCAAGGCAGAGGGAGCCAGCCAGUAAGCAACAUUUCUCCAUAGCCUCCGGUUCAAUUCCUGUCUUGUGUUUGGGCCCUGGUUUCCCUCAGAUGACCUGGAAAGGUCAUCUUGUUUCAUAGUCAUUUUCCUUAUCUGAGUUCUGGGGCAACGUGGCUGAGAAGCCAAAAUGAAAUGGCAGUGAGGAGGGUUGGCCACGGCCAGGCUCCCUGCAUGUGGUGCUGACCUUCUGAUAGGAGGUCGGGAGAAUGGGAUGGUCAGACCUAAGGAUCCUAAAGCACCGUAAGGUACUUGAUGCUCAAGCUAACGCUGGCUGUGAAACCAGCACUGGGAGGAGGGAAGACGUCACUAAUUGAUUGUUUGUGUUACCUUGGGGAAGCAUUGCCUUCUGGGAAUUGGUUUCCUUCCCUUGAAAAUGUGUGAAUUGAGAGCGUGGCUGGGAUCUAAGCAGUUAACUCUUAAGGAGACAAGUGAGGGUGAUGUGACAGGAGGCAGGAGCAAGCAUCUUGCCAGGCAGGUGGAACAGCUGUGUGUUAGCAGUUGUGGGUGCAAGGAGAAGAGCUGUGGAGGGAAAGGCAUCCGAGGGGCUUUCUAAAUCUGAAGAGCAGCACCCAGUGGGAACGAAGCACACUUUAUGGCCUGCACCAUUUGGGGUUGUCCCCCAAAACCUCCUGAGUAAAGAGGCCUUGUUCCUAGCUGCAUGUUAUUGGGAGGUGGUACAACAGCUAAGACCUAGGGAGGUCGUUAGGUCAUCAGACACGCCCUUGAAGGGGAUUGUGGGAAACUGGUCUCUCUCCAGCGGUCAGCAAGCUUUUAGUUUCUGCGUGUGUUUUAGCUCUGAUGUUCUGGUUUGCCAUGGGUCCCGAAGCAAUGGGGCCAAUGGACCCUGGGCUGAAAUCUCCAAAACAGGAGCCAAAAGAAACCAACCCUUCAGGGGUGAAGAGAUGGCUCAGCAGUUGAAGCACUGGCUGCUCUUCCUUAGGAUGCUGGUUUGAUUCCCAGCACCUACAUGGCAGUUUGCUACUCUCUGUAACUCCAGUUCCAGGGGACCUGCUGUCUUCUAAUAUACACAGGCACUGCAAAUACGAGCUGCACAGACACACAUGCAGGCAAAACACCCAUACACUUAAAACAAAAGAGACCCAGGAAACGAGACCCAAGAUGAUGAGCAAGUACCUACUGAAGAUUAAGCCUAAUUAGGUUUGAGGUAAACUUUAUUCUGAUAGGCACAAGGCCCCUUUCCCCCAGCAGCAGCUCAGUGCUUCCAGCAUUUUUAAAUUUUUAUUUCUUAAGAUUUUAUUUUAAUUAUGUGUGCCUGUGUGUGAGCUUGUACACGUGUGCAGUGCUCAUGGGGGCCAGAAGAGGACGUCAUAUCCCCUGGAGCUGGACUUCCAGGAGGUUGUACCAGGCAGAUGGAAGUGGCCAGGAACUGAACUGCAUCCUCUGCCUGCUCUCAGCCCCUGAGCAUCUCUCCAGCCCCGCUACUUUACAUAUGCAGUGUGAAAUGUUAUCAAGGGGCUUGGAGGCUCACCACCCAUAAUUCCAUAAGAGGAACCAGGUGAGGAGUGAGUUCUACAACCCCAGGCUGUGAAGACUCCUGUGAUUGUCAGCGUUGGGUUCCCAGGGGCUCCCGCUGCAGGAAAUCCCAUCAACCAUCCUCUUUUAAAAAGAGAAUGGCCAGCAGGUGACAACUUCUCUUCUGAUUUUGAACACAAGAAACCAUAGGCUAUAUGCAUUUGACUACAGCUGAUCUGAAUGAAACAAAUAUCCUAAAAGAAAUACGGAGAUCUCACUAUGUAGAUCAGGCUGGCCUUGAAUUCACCGGGAUUCACCUGCCUCUGCCUCCCAAGUGCUGGGAUUAAGCAUGUGUGCCAACACACUUGGCUACGCUUUAAGCUUUUAAAAUCCUCAUCAUUUGCAAUAUUUCAAGUCACAUCCUAUGUUUAAGUAACUUUAAAAAAAAAGAUUUAUUUUUAACUGCGUAUAAGCAUGUAGAUGUGCAUGUGGUAAUGUGCCUGUGAAUGAACGCAAGUGCCCAUGGAAGCAGAGAUAGCAAAUCCCUGGAGAUGGAGUCGGGUGCUGGGAACCGAUCUCAGGUCCUCUGGAAGAGCAGCAAGUGUUCAGAACAGCUGUGCCAUCUCUCCAUCAUUUGGAGCAACUUCAAAAGUCACUAGCAUUUCUGGGUUUUUGGGACCUAAGGCAGGUUGUGCCUCAUUCAUCUGCAGUUGGUGGUUAUCUUCCAAACUUCGUUUGUCCUUUUUUUCCUUGUGCCUAAUUGAAAAAGUAACAGAACCUUAUCUAUAUUAGUAUAACUUAAAAGAGUUGGGUGCUACUUAAAAUUUCCUUUUCUUCAACACCCAAAUCCACAUUCUAAAGACAAAAACAUUAAGAACACCUGUAACUUACCCCUUUCGCUAAAGAAUGCCUUUAGGAAAUUCUUGAAUUGAUUUUAUACGUUUUCAAUUGUCUUUCCAUUUAAUUUUACAUCCUGCUGAGAACAUACCCUUUUUUACUCUGUCUUCCUUCUGCCCCCAUUACAUACAAUAACCUUUAUUUACAAAGUAGGUGAUCAGCCUUUACAUAAUUGUGCCAUAACUAUAGAGAGACACAGCGUAUAAUGACUCCCCGCCAGUCCGUCACAUGUUGUACAACCUUAUUGUCCCAAGAGUCAGGUGUGUGUGACGAUUUAGAAAUCGGGUCCCACAUCCUCCAGCUCCAGAAUCGAUGGCCAUGCUGAGCAGCUCUGGGCUGUGCCUGCCACCACUUCCCGGCCUUCCCGGCCUCCCCGGCCUCCUUUCCUGAUCUCUGCUCUCCUCUUUAUUGAUUAAAACAUAUUUAUCUGUUGCUUUCUACGAGCAUGCAUGUUUUGCCUGCACGUUUGUCUGCGCACCAUGUGCAUGUCUGCUGUCUGAGGAGGCCGGGAGGUGUUGGAUUCCUCACAAAUGGAGUCACAGACAGUUGUGAGCCACCAGGUGGUGCUGGGAACCACUCUGGAAGAGCGCUUUCUAUAUGACCAGGCUUCCUAGCCCCCUUCCCUCUAUUCUGGCUUCAUUCUGGCUCCUCCCACCCCUUGCUAAGCUAUGAGCAGACUACCUGACAUUUCUGGGCCCAACUUCAUUGGGAAAAUGGCAGUAACAAUGGUGUCUGCGUCCCAGGACUGUGGUGCAGUUUGUAAAGAACUUUGAGUGGUGUCUGGUCCACGAAGUGUUAUGCAGACGUGCUAUGCAUACAUGAACUGUUACAUUUUGCCAGGGUACACAAUGCGUUAGUUUCCCUGAAACAGGUCAGUGGAAGGUGGGUUUUAGAGAACUGAUCUGAAAGUGUUUCUCUCACCACUGUCCUUGGUUGAGCCUUUGACUGAGAAGCCUUCUAGAGUGAUGAUGAUUUUACUGAUUGCUUAUGGGCAAUGCCCUGUCUCCAUGCUCAAACUGGGGCCAUCCUGUUGACAUCCUCUUUGCACAGAGGUGUUUUGUUUGUUUGUUUGUUUGUUUUUGUUUAUUUUUCUGGAAGCUGCUGGAAUCACUGUAGGAUUCAGGUUUAGAUUUCUAUUUGAUGUUUCAUAUUCAUUCACUGCACUGAGAGUUUCCAUCCGGUAAGUAUUAUCUUUAUCACUAUAGUUAUUUAUAAUUUUAUCUUUUCCAUGUUUUCUAUCUUUUAAAGAUUUAUUAUUAUUGUUGUUAUUAUUAUUAUUUUAUGUGUGAGUGCUUUAUCUGCAUGUACACCUGCACGCCAAAAGAGGGCACCUUAUCUUAUUAUAGAUGGUUGUGAGCCACCAUGUGGUUGCUGGGAAUUGAACUCAGGACCUCUAGAAGAGCAGCCAGUGCUCUUAACUGCUGAGCCACCCUCUCCAUUUUUAUUAUUUUUAAUUAUGCAGCCUUUGAGUGACCUGGAGCAUUUUGUGAUGUUCCUUAGACAAUGGACGGCUAGUUUGUUUACAAUAGCAAAACUCUACGAAGGAUUUGCCUGAGCAGACAACUGUUCUUAUCUGUUACUAUUCUUGAAGAAAAUAUUUUACUUUUAAGUUGUAUUGGGGGCUGUUCUGGUGCUUCAUUUUGAUGCUAAUUACUGGCCCUCAAGAUCUGGUUACAGCCUGGAUACACCUAUCCUUGCUUUGUAAACCUGCCUGAGACAGUAUACCUGAUUGGUUGAUUAAAGGCCAAUACCUGGGCAGGGCAGAACGGGGUAGGCGUGGCUGAGGUUCCUGGGCUUUAAAGGAGGACGUGAGGAUGGGUUAUCGAGGAGAAGAGACCACGUGGCGGUGAGGAAGGACUCUAAUAAUGGUGUGGAAAGGCCUAAAUGAAGAAUACAAGCAAGUUUCUUGGAUUAUGGAUGGAAGGUAGUCCAGAUAGGAAUGAUUAAGGCUGAUGGCAUUGGAUGGGGGCUGGGAGAUGGAUGGUGUGGUAAUUGAGACAGUGUAGGUAGAAAUAUCUGCCUGGCCCAAGGUAAUAAGGCAAGAAUAAAAAUCUAACAGGUGUCUGUGUCUUAUUAUUUGUGAUAGCAGCUUAAAUACCACCGCAAUAAUUAUAGGGCAAAUAAUAAAUACUAUAAAGCCCAAUACAUCAUUUUUACUUACCACAACAAAGUUGCAAUUAUGUCAGUAUUAAGACUCACUUGUAUGUUUCAGCUGGACAUGGUGGUGUAACCUUUAAUCCCAGCAUUCAGCAGGCAGACACAAGCAGAUCUCUGUGAGUUAGAGGCCCAAUUUUAGGGUCCAACUUAUUCAUUGGGAAAAUGCAGCAGGGUCACCUAGCAAGGCCUUGUCUUUAAAAAAACCAAACCAAACCAAAACCCAAACAAACAAACAAAAUCCCAUUUAAAACCAACCAAACGAAAAGGAUCAUAUGCGUAUUUUAUUUGACAGCUGAAGUAUUAGUUGAACUAACUGCACAGUUAACACACGUAGACGUGGGCUCUCUGUGGGAGCACACCACAGUCCAUGUUAGCGGCUGCAGCGCAGAGUCUUCCCCGUGCCUGAAGGGUUGGUCCCAGCUGACACGUGAGAAAACUCAGCUUACAGGGCUGGCUCCACAGAGGGGACUUUGGUAACUCACAUCACCAGUGUUUCCGUCUACACAGCAGGCCGGAGAGGGGUCUAAAAAGGAAUUAACAAAAACCCCGUCAGCUGGGCACACCGGUGAGGAAGUUUUUCCCCAUUAAAUUAUUUGAAGUGGGAAGGCCCAUUUUUAACCUGGAUCUUUGAGGGAAGGCCCACCUUGACCCUGGGCGAUGUCUUCUGCAGCAGCCCAGUGGAGAAGGAAGCCUGCUCUCUGCCUGCUUGUUCUCCCUCUCCCUAGCAAGUCCAUCCCUUCACUGGCCUCAGAGCCUACUUCUUCAGGAUUCUGCUCAUACUGGAAACCAGCUGAGACAUCCAGCCUUGUGGCCUGAACAACUACUGGAGUCUUGGGGUUUCUGUUGGCAGACAGCUGUUUUGGGAUUUUUUUGUUGGACUAGCUGGACAACAGCCUGUUACCCAUUUUAAUAAAUCCCAUAAAAACACAUAUAUAUAGAUAUAUGUAUGCACAUUUUCCUUUCAUAAGUUCUGUCCCUCUAGAGAACCCUAACACAGUUGCUUCUAUCUGCACUUUGUCACAGCAAUCAGAAAGGUCACCAUCGUGUGACUCAGCUGGGAAGGGAGAAGGCACCCGCCAGAAUGGAGCUCUGUAGGCGCCAUGCCCUCGAAGUCCCCAAACUAGAGCGUGUGAACACAGAGGGAACACCGGAUGCCCUUGAAGCUCCUCAGCUUUGAGCCAAGCAAACAUCCUGAAUUUAUUAUUAUUAUUAUUAUUAUUAUUAUUAUUGAAGUUGGCGUGUGUGAAGUUUCCAUGUUGUGGCCUAGCAACAAGAAGAACCAAGAUGGAGAUGACUGAUGGUCCCAGCAGAAGAUGGAGCUGGAAGGUGGAGCGCAGGAAGGUGGCCUUUGAAGAGAUGAAGCAGAGGCUGAAGCAGGGGCAGAAGAAGCUCCCGGAGGAGCACCAUCAGGAAUACCUGAAGAUGCUGGCAGAACCGGGAGGCGCUGGAGGAGGCAGAUGAGUUGGAGUGGCUGGUGGCCAUCCCCAUCACCGAUACCGUGACUGCCAUCAGGGACCUGGGCCUCUCAGGUCUUCCCCUGCCUGAGCAAGGGGACUGUGAUGGGUCCCAGGAGGAGGCAUCGUCCUUGGAGAAGCCGACAAAAGAAGCCCAGGAAGUCCAGAGAUCCCAACAGGGCAGGAGAUGGAAGGUGCCCAUGUGAGCCUCACGCAGUGCCAGCCAACAGAGAAGGCCAACAGUGGGUGUCUGCCUGUGUGCAUCUCCAGAGCCACCCUGAGGCUGGAGACCUCAUCCACACAGGAGACCCCCUCUGCACACAUACACAGAGGAGACACACACACACACAGAGCACACUGUCUCUCUAAGUUUGGACUCCUUUGUUGGGGUGAUGUUUUGUGCAUUGUGUAAAGAUUAUCCCGGUAUAUUCAAAUGUUGAUUUCUGUGCAGAUCUGAUUACAGGCCUGGACUUUGGCUUUGCCAUUUAAAAAAGAAAAGAAAAUCGGUGUAUGCUCAGUGUAUGUACUAUUGGGUUUCAUAAAGAUAUUUUCAUGUAAGCAUAUACUUUGCUUUGACCUGUCCUCCCUCAUCAUCCUCUCCUUCCCCUUUCCCCACCCACUUCUGUUUGAUCCCUUCAUUGCCCUAGACAAUUCCAGGUUUAUUUUCAUGUCAUCUAUACAUAUAACUUAACUUUACGUACCUAUAUAAAAUUUAGUAUCUUAGAAAAAGUGGAAUAUUUUCUUUCUGUAUCUAGCUUAAUUAAUAUGGUUAUAUCCAGUUGUAUUCAAUUUAGCUGC